rnacentral:rRNA from 1 species
UUGUCGCGUCUGCUGUGAAAUCCCGAGGCUCAACCUCGGGCUUGCAGUGGGUACGGGCAGACUAGAGUGCGGUAGGGGAGAUUGGAAUUCCUGGUGUAGCGGUGGAAUGCGCAGAUAUCAGGAGGAACACCGAUGGCGAAGGCAGAUCUCUGGGCCGUAACUGACGCUGAGGAGCGAAAGCAUGGGGAGCGAACAGGAUUAGAUACCCUGGUAGUCCAUGCCGUAAACGUUGGGCGCUAGAUGUAGGGACCUUUCCACGGUUUCUGUGUCGUAGCUAACGCAUUAAGCGCCCCGCCUGGGGAGUACGGCCGCAAGGCUAAAACUCAAAGGAAUUGACGGGGGCCCGCACAAGCGGCGGAGCAUGCGGAUUAAUUCGAUGCAACGCGAAGAACCUUACCAAGGCUUGACAUACACCGGAAACGGCCAGAGAUGGUCGCCCCCUUGUGGUCGGUGUACAGGUGGUGCAUGGUUGUCGUCAGCUCGUGUCGUGAGAUGUUGGGUUAAGUCCCG